GUCUACGGCCAUGCCACCUGAACAAGCCCCAUCCCACUUGAUCUUGGAAGCUAAGCAGGGUCGAGCCUGGUUAGUACUUGGAUGGGAAGUACUAACUAGGAAGACCAGGUGCUAUAGGCA
rnacentral:rRNA from 1 species